AUUGCUAUGCGAAUGACUGUUUCAUGAGAUAAACAUGACAUUUAUUCGAAUAGUAAUAG
rnacentral:pre_miRNA from 1 species